GGCUUGAUGAUAUUAAUAUUAAGUCAAUCUGCCCAAUGAUGAAUAUUAAAUGGCUGCAGUAUAAUUGACUGUACAAAGGUAGCAUAAUCGAUUGUUUUUUAAUUGAAAACUGGAAUGAAAGAAUUAAUGAGAUAUAUACUGUCUCAUAUAUAUUUAAUAAAUUUAAAUUUUUAGUAAAAAUGCUGAAAUAAGUUUAUGGGACGAUAAGACCCUAUAGAAUUUUAUAUUAAUAUGUAGAUAAAUGAUUUUUAUAUAUUAAUAUUUAGUUGGGAGGAUUGGUAAAUUUAUUGAACUUUAUUUUUAAUUAAAACUUUGAUUUAAGAAUAAAUAAUGAUCUUGUAUUAUAAAUAAUAAGAAUAAAUUACCUUAGGGAUAACAGCGUAAUAUCUUUUGAAAGAUCGAAUUGAUAAAGGUGAUUGCGACCUCGAUGUUGAAUUAAGAUAAAUUUUAAACGUAGAAGUUUAAUGAUUAAGUCUGUUCGACUUUUAAAAUC
rnacentral:rRNA from 1 species